rnacentral:rRNA from 1 species
UGGGGAAUUUUGGACAAUGGGCGAAAGCCUGAUCCAGCAAUGCCGCGUGUGUGAAGAAGGCCUUCGGGUUGUAAAGCACUUUUGUCCGGAAAGAAAUCCUCUGGGUUAAUACCUCGGGGGGAUGACGGUACCGGAAGAAUAAGCACCGGCUAACUACGUGCCAGCAGCCGCGGUAAUACGUAGGGUGCAAGCGUUAAUCGGAAUUACUGGGCGUAAAGCGUGCGCAGGCGGUUUUGUAAGACGGAUGUGAAAUCCCCGGGCUUAACCUGGGAACUGCAUUCGUGACUGCAAGGCUAGAGUAUGGCAGAGGGGGGUAGAAUUCCACAUGUAGCAGUGAAAUGCGUAGAGAUGUGGAGGAAUACCGAUGGCGAAGGCAGCCCCCUGGGCCAAAUACUGACGCUCAUGCACGAAAGCGUGGGGAGCAAACAGGAUUAGAUACCCUGGUAGUCCACGCCCUAAACGAUGUCAACUAGUUGUUGGGGAUUCAUUUCCUUAGUAACGUAGCUAACGCGUGAAGUUGACCGCCUGGGGAGUACGGUCGCAAGAUUAAAACUUAAAGGAAUUGAC